CCAUCUAUAUGUCAACCACUGAUCACUACACAGCAAAAGAAGAACACAAAGUUUUCCAUGAAGGAAGACAAAGAGAAGAGAAAUAUCACCAUAACAGUGAGAGAAGUAACAGCAGACGACAGUGGGACAUACUGGUGUGGAGCAGAAAGCACUGACAGAAGACGCAGUAACACAUUCUUCCACAGAUUCUUGAUGACUGUAGUGUCAACAAUUCCCUCUGCAACCUCAUCACCACCUGUAACACAACCAGCUAUUGUUUCUAAUGACGCCUUUGAUCUCACAUCUGUGCAGACCAUUGCUCUGG